GCCGGGAUAGCUCAGUUGGGAGCGUCAAUCAGACUAUCUGAAGAUUGCCUGUUCAAUCCACGCUUACAGCA